rnacentral:lncRNA from 1 species
UACCAUAAAAUAUACACGGAUUAAGAAUCCUGUCCGUACCAACAUCUUGAUUUUUGAAUGAGCAGAACAUUGGCUUGAUGAAUCAAGUUACACUAAACCAUAAAAGGAGGAGGAAAUAAGGAUUUGUUCAACAAGACAUUAGUCACAGAUCAAUGUUCAUAAUCAAAACAUUUUGCUAUAACAAUAACCACAGACCAAUGUUCCUAAUCAAUUUUCCCAUACUCUUACAACAAAAUAAUUUGGUAGCUUCGUGAUGAGGAAGCACCGGUUCCUGUU